UAUACACUAGAUGACCCGGUUGCGCCAAUGGCGCAAGAACCGAAUUAGAAAGAAUGUUAGUAGUGCAUAAGUAGGAGAUGUUACUGGAAAGAUAAUGCAAUGUGGAUUAUAUUACAAAUCAUGAAAUCAAUAUCAGAGAACCAAAUAAUGUCACCACCUCUGUACUAACAACCAACAUUUUAGCAUAAGCAGUAUCACAGGAAUGUUUACUUGCACAUCAGGAGUAUCACAAUUACAACUAAAGAGGCAUUGUCCUCACUGUUGUCCCUGAGCCCUUCACAAGGAGAGUUCCAAGCCUCGCAACUUCUUCCUCCAGCUCUGCACAUGACCCUCAGUUACGAACCUCGUCCCUCAGCAAUUAGACUCCGGUAGUUUGCAAACUCCCAUUUCCCAUUGCAGAUUGAUUUACAUGGCUACUCUCACCAAUGAGAGGACCAAGCACAGAAAAGAUUCAGAACUUUUGGAAGCAAAAUUUAUAGAGCUAUGAGGUCUCUGAGCACUUACCAUGCCUAAUCGCAUGAAUCCAACAAAUUUGCCAACUCAAAUGCCACAAAGACCAAAUGAUGGUGUGAGGCAGCUCACCAUAUGUUAUCGACUCUUACAAUGAUAGAUCCAUAGAUCAGCGAGGAUAUUCAUAAAUGCUUCACCUAAGAAGGCCAAGAUGCCAUACACACAAUUAGAGCCAAAACAACACUUGAAGCAGUGGAAAUAGCCAUCCACUUGCUGGAGGAAAUAAAUGAAAUAACAAGCAAGAAGAAAGCAAAAUGAUGUCGGCAGUGUAUCAAACAAUCGUACUGAAAUGAUCAAUACACAAAAAAAGGAAACGAUCUCUAGUUGUGAACGCACUGAAUUUAGCAUAUAAAUGACAUGGUGACUAAAAUAAUUACCUUAGAUCAUCUUAGGAAAUGUUCCAGCAAAGAAGGCAAUGACUUUUCCGUAUCACCCAUAGCAUGAUUUUUUCAACUUCAAAUCGUAUGAUACCAUGGACUCUGCAUAUGUUGAUAGGACAUAAUAAUUAGCCACAAAAAACAGGGGUACGGAUAACACAUUGAAAGUAAAAGCAGAGAGCAAAUUUAAUGCUUACAGCAAAGAAUGGGCACAGAUAACUUACUGGUUCAUCUGCCACUACUUUAUUAUCUAUGAAGAAACUAAAAGUCAAAUGUACAACUAAAUCAGGAAUAAGAACACCAUAAUAAUUAGCCACAAAAAACAGGGGUACGGAUAACACAUUGAAAGUAAAAGCAGAGAGCAAAUUUAAUGCUUACAGCAAAGAAUGGGCACAGAUAACUUACUGGUUCAUCUGCCACUACUUUAUUAUCUAUGAAGAAACUAAAAGUCAAAUGUACAACUAAAUCAGGAAUAAGAACACCAUAAAACACUGGGCUUGGUCUGCAUGCAAACCAUUAAUCUGAUUGGAGAUGGAAAAUUAACCAAUAUUGUACCUCAUGCAUUGGCACGGGUCUCGCCGAUCUGAGCCUGGCAACAAAACAUACCAUCAUGUAAAGGAAGGGUUGUAGAAAAAUUAAGAGAAGCAGAUGCCAAGUAAACAAAAAGCAUGUAUCUUAGUCAUCUCAAUCAUAUUAUCCAUAGCGCUCCUCUAGGAAUGAGCGAGAAAAUGAUCAAAAAUCAUAUGGCAAAGGAAUAUCAAGGACAUCACAAACAACAACAAUAAAGGAAACACUACGCAUUGCUCUGAAAAAGGUCCCGACCCUGGCGGGCGCGCGUGAAGGGCCGACGUGGUGGCAUAUCGACUGCACCUGGCAAUUGUCUUGCUAUUGCUAGCCCUCAUCGCCGAUGUGCUCCUUCCUUAGUCGCUGCCCUCGAACCUCCUACUUAGCCGGGGAGGGGAGGGUCGCGGGGCGCAUGAGCCGUGUGAGAUCGGCAGCUGCCAUCUCCCACCCAUUGAGCCGCCUACUUGACUGGCACCUGCUCCGCCCCUCCUUCGGC
rnacentral:lncRNA from 1 species